UGGGGAAUAUUGCACAAUGGGCGCAAGCCUGAUGCAGCCAUGCCGCGUGUAUGAAGAAGGCCUUCGGGUUGUAAAGUACUUUCAGCGGGGAGGAAGGGAGUAAAGUUAAUACCUUUGCUCAUUGACGUUACCCGCAGAAGAAGCACCGGCUAACUCCGUGCCAGCAGCCGCGGUAAUACGGAGGGUGCAAGCGUUAAUCGGAAUUACUGGGCGUAAAGCGCACGCAGGCGGUUUGUUAAGUCAGAUGUGAAAUCCCCGGGCUCAACCUGGGAACUGCAUCUGAUACUGGCAAGCUUGAGUCUCGUAGAGGGGGGUAGAAUUCAAUGUGUAGCGGUGAAAUGCGUAGAGAUGUGGAGGAAUACCGGUGGCGAAGGCGGCCCCCUGGACAAAGACUGACGCUCAGGUGCGAAAGCGUGGGGAGCAAACAGG
rnacentral:rRNA from 1 species